GCGCGAAACCUUUUCAAUGCACGCAAGUGUGAGAAGGGAAUUCCAAGUGCUCAAGUUUAACUUGGGCUUUUGUCAAGUGUAAAAAGCUUGGCGAAUAAGGGGUGGGAAAGACUGGUGCCAGCCGCCGCGGUAACACCAGCGCCUCGAGUGGGGAUCGCGAUUAUUGGGUCUAAAGCGUCCGUAGCAGGCUUUGUAAAUGCUUUGUGAAAUUGUCUGGCAUAACCAGACAGCGUGCAGAGUAGACUGCAGAACUUGAGACCGGGAGAGGUUAGCAGUAUUCCUUGGGUACCGGUAAAAUGGGUUAAUCCAAGGAGGACUACCAAUGGCGAAGGCAGCUAACCAGAACGGUUCUGACUGUGAGGGACGAAAGCUAGGGGAGCAAAACGG
rnacentral:rRNA from 1 species